rnacentral:lncRNA from 1 species
UAAAAUUGACAUAAACAAUCAGAAUCGUUUUCAGAAAAUAAUAUAUUGUUUACAUUUUCUCUUUCCGCCCCCCUUCUUGGGGGGAAAUGGAGUCAUCCCAUUAAGUAUUUGACACUCUGCAGUGUUUGUUAUGCUACUCCUUUCAUCGUUUUUUAUCUAAGAGGAGAUGAGGAAACAAUCCCUUUGGAUGUGGAAUAACCUUGUGUAAUGUGACAAUUGUUUCUUCCAAGCGUAUUUUAAUUAGAAAUAUAAUCCAAACUAAACACAGAUUAAAAACCAUGCUCCACAACUAUCAGGAUAUAUCAUAUACUCCCAUUUUACCCUAUCCUUGAUAAUAUGUUUUCUGUACAUCAUGGGGGUAGGGGGCACAUUUUAAAAGGCUCUAAUCUGUAUGGAAGGACAAUUCUUUCUUAGCUCAUUUAUGCAACUGUGACUGGUCUGCUGCCCCUGUCCAAUGUGCUGACCCUGUGGUUGGCUUGCUCAAUAAUGUAAUUAAAAUGGUUUCUGCUCUACUACCUUCCAGAAGAGGUGCUGGGGCACACCAUAGCCAUCAAAGACAAACAUUUAAAGCCUGUAGUCAACUUUGUUUGCCCAAGGGAUUGUGUGCAUGCUGUAAGUGUCUUAUUUGUUUUUUUCCGAGCAAGAGAUCUCCAGCACUGUUCAGUUUCUAAGGGCAGAGCAAGAUGUGAUGCGGAUAACAAGUCAGCACUGAGAAUAGCAAAUCCACGUCCAGUUCCACUUUCUCUCCCUCUAAUGUUUAGUAAGAGUAAUGAGUGCGUGUAGCAAUGGAGGAGACAAUCAGUUCAGUACACAGUAAAAGCUAAAUCUAUCAAAUUUGCUCUUUCCAAAACGAUACGUGAACAGGAACAAAGCUAUCCUUUGAUACUUGCAUUUAUUCUACUUUUGAAAAUUGUGCAUAAAAAUGAAGCUAUUGGUGAAUAUCACAUUUUAAAAGACACGGCCUUUCAAAUGAAAAAUGUGCAUUAGUCACAACUGCAUAUAAAAAUGUGUUUAUCGGGAGAAAUUCACACUGAAAUGACGAUUAGCAUACGAGGAUUUUUUUAAAAAAUGCAAAUGGCUGCAAAAUGUGGAGAACCGAACGGAUGAUUGGAAAAAUGAGAAAUGGAGAGGACCAAAAUGGACAGAUCCAGAUCUAUGGCGCCAUGAUAUUGCAGCUUUUGGGAGUUUGUGACCAAGAGCUCGCGAGCAGGCCUCACAAACAGGGGCAUUUGCAAGGAUUGCUGGAUGGGGCUUGUUUUGCUAAGCUGCCUAGGAGUUAGAGCAAGCAAGGAGUUCUUUUGGAUCUCAGCAGAUGGAGGAUUGGCAGAUGGUUAGAUGAAGAAGAAAAUGGUUUAUUGACUGACAAUAAUAACAACAACAACAACAACAACAACAACAACAACAACAAUAAUAUAUUAUUUAUACCCCACCCGUCUGGCUGGGUUUCCCCAGCCACUCUGGGUGGCUCCCAACAGAUUAAAAACAGAAUCAAACAAUAAAAACUUCCCUAACCAGGGCUGCCUUCAGAUGUCUUCUAAAAGUCAGAUAGUUGUUUAUUUCCUUGACAUUUGAUGGGAGGGCGUUC